CUCCUCUCGGCCGGUGCACUUGGGAGGAGUGCAGUCCGUGCGUGUUUCUUUUUUCCUCAGGAAUUCUUCUGUGAUUCCUAAGGACUCGGCAACCUGAGCAGAAAGGGGCCCAUAGAGACGCUCCACUCAAAACACAAGAUUCGGGAUCAUGGCAGCACUUAAGAACAAAGGGCUGAGUUUAAAUCUGUGAAGUCCCUUUGUACAGCAAGGUGCCACCUAAACAGUGGGAAAAAUGAAGAGAGACUGUCGGCACCGGCUUCAUCAUAGCCACUGUCUUCGCUCCAAAGAGGCUGCGUCACAUCCCGAACUGCCCACAAAGCAGGGUCCCCGUGAGCGCGCACAGCAUCCGUGCACGUCCUGUCUGCUCCACAACAGGAUGGUACCCACACCGGCUUAACCGACAGUUUAUAAACAGG